GGAGGGCCGGGUAGACCUGGGGAAGACUUUAGCUGAUGUACAUGCGAUGGUUUCCUUAGCUUUGGGCGACUCUUCCCCGCGGUUUCGUGAGCCGCCGUAGCCAGAGGCUGAUGCUGUAAUUCCCCACCUCAUUUCCUCAGCUUCUGUGAAGGCAUACUUUUAGAAAAGGCUAAAAAGACCUAAAAUUAGAGAAUUCAAGUUGGAAGGAACCUGAAAAACAGCUUUCAAGAGAGAGAUGCCUUCGAUGGACUUAUAAUCUGAUAAGGUCUUGGAUGAAGUGUAGCUAAUGAAUUGUGCUGUGUGUGUCCAUGUUGUUGAUGCUGCCUAUGCCUGCCUGGUCUUGGAUGUGUUGUACUGACUGUGUCCUUGUUAAUGCUGCCUAUGCCUGGUACAGGAUUCUAACAGAUGAUGUUGCCCAGACUGGUGGGUUGGGUUGACCCUGCCAGCUCCAUCCUCAACUAGGAGACUGUUUAUAUCACCAGUUCCUGCAAGACAAAAGUAGAACUAGGGAAACAUAGUGAACUCAGAAGACGGCAAGAAGAAGGAUUAUAUUUUUCAGAAAGGCAGUCAUUGGCAUACCAUACUACUUGUCAAUCAACUAACUCAGGAUGGGAGAACCUCCGAAUUUCCAGGAUGCCUGUGCCUUGGGUUCCCGUGACCAGGACUACAGCUGGGAGCAACAGUGGCAGCUGGAGGAACAUUUCAAGAUGGAACCCUACCCUGACCGUGAGGCUUACAAGGUCCUGGCAGCCAGACUGAACCUGAAGGAGGAGCAAGUUGAGACAUGGUUCAUCCAGCGCAUGCUCGAGCAAGAGCUGAGGCCACCUCGCCCUGACUUGCGUCACUCUGCCCGGCUCAGCAUGGUGCCCUAUGUUUACCAUGGGUCCUACUGCUGCUACAGGCAAAGCUGGCGCUCCAGGCUCAUUCCCGUCAACCCAGCAGAGUCCUCACCCAGCCAUGAGCAUAGCUGCUGAUUCUCCUACCCAGAGACCUGGGCUCAGUGGGGCCUCCCCAGCCUGUUUGCCAAAGCCCCUGCCCUCCCCAAGAUGCACCAGGCUCUUGGAAACACAGGUUGCCAUCCACAGACUCUCUCUGCUUUCACGCGAGAUGGAGAUGAUGGCAUGCCAGACAACAAACCAGCGUCCUAGGGCUCCUGAAUCUAUAGGGAGGGGGCCCUGUAGACCUCAAAGGGCCACAUCGUGGGGCCCGGGGAGGCAGCUCAGUGAUUUCCCUGUCUGUUCUGAUCUCCCAAUCAGCUAGGUUUGGCAAUCGCAAUUUUUCUUUUAUUCUUUUCUCCCAGAAAGUUCACCAGUAGCCCAGGUUAGCCAUCAGUUCAAUAUAUAUCAGAGGAUGACCUUAAACUCUGGAUUCUCCUGCUUCCUAGGGCUGAUUUCUGUUUUUUUCUCUUCUGUUUGUUAUUUGUUAAUAAAGUGAAAUUAUUGAUAGACA